AUUCAUUUAGUAUAAAAAGUAUAUUAAGCUUCCAACUUAAAGGUUUAUCAAUUAAAUGAAUA
rnacentral:tRNA from 1 species